UACAGAGGUCUCAAGCGUUGUCCGGAUUCAUUGGGCGUAAAGGGUGCGUAGGUGGCGGGGUAAGUCAGGUGUGAAAUUUCGGAGCUUAACUCCGAAACUGCAUUUGAUACUGCCUUGCUUGAGGACUGGAGAGGAGACUGGAAUUCACGGUGUAGCAGUGAAAUGCGUAGAGAUCGUGAGGAAGACCAGUGGCGAAGGCGGGUCUCUGGACAGUUCCUGACACUGAGGCACGAAGGCCAGGGGAGCAAACGGG
rnacentral:rRNA from 1 species